AAGCAAGUCAAUUAUAAGUAAGUGCUAACCCAGACAGAGGGAGCACAGAGCUGCAGCAGCAAACAGGCCAGAGGAACUGAGAGCCAAAGGGCUUACAACGGAAGUAAGACCUGAGCCGGUCUCCACACGUGAGGACUCGGUGGUCUGCCAAAGGACAGAGGAGCACGCUGAAUUCUGGGCUUAGAUAGCCAAGAAACAUUAAGAAGAAAGAGAUGACAAUGAAGAGGAUGUUGACAACAGAAAUAUCACAAAUAUACGAUAUGAACUUUUAACAACAGAAAGAAAAUUAAUGAUUAUCAAACUGGCAUAUACCAGGUGCUAGUUACGUCCUUUUAUAUGAAUUCAUUUUCAGACUUCAAGCAACCUUUCAAGGUACAAUUUUGGUUAACAAAUAAAACAUUAUGAUUAAAUGAAGACUGGAUUAACUUGCAAGCUGAUGCUUAUAAAUUAUAAAAAGAAGUUUGAGUCUGGGCAAAAAGGUGAAAUAAACGAACUCUGGCAUCUGACUCUGGCAUCCAUUGUUGCUGGUGACUCUGUGUGCCGGGGCACAUACUCUCUGAAGCUGCUCAUUGCCCACUGAUGAAGGCAUGUCUUUCAAGUCAAGUUCCUGUGCUCUGAACUUGUAUCUACAACUCCUUUCCUUGGAGUUGGAGAAAACUCUUUAAAGAGCCAUGCCUUUUGGCUCAUUUUGACUUCUAUUCCCUUGCUAAAUACAGAAAUGACAGAUGGCACUCCGGUAGCCCAACUGGAUCAAGAGCCAGCCUUGAGAAUUAGAAGCUCAAAAAUAAAGAUGUUAUGGUUUAAAAGUGUCUCCCAGAGUUCAUGUGUUAGACACUUGGUCCUCCAUGGAACAGUGAUGUCAGUGGACCUUGAAGGGAUGAUCAGCUCAUGAGCACAGAGUCACUGAUUAAUACUGUGGGAGUUAGCUUGUAGGAGAAGCCACUCCCUCCCUCCAGAGGACGCUCCUGCCCGUUUGGGGCUCCAGUCAUGUUAUGGUGGCAGCACAAAGGGCCUCCUACGUGUGGCCCCUGCAUUUUGCACUUAUCCUCCAGAACUGUGAGCCAAAUAAAUUUCUGUUCAUUAUAAAUUACCUAGUCUGUGCUAUUCUCUUAUAGCACUAAGACAUGCUCUAAAACUGAAGGAAAAAAUAAAGGUCUAAGAAGCUGAAGUCCUUGGUGACAUAUGGAAACUCUUGUAAGCCUCAGGCUGACGAUCUUUAAAUUGCUAUAUUUAAGUAUGUAAAUCAACGGCAUUUGAGUUUCUUACAUGCACUUGCACCUACUCUUACCCUAUGUGCAUUUUUGUGGGAGAGGGGAAACUGACAAUUUGGAGGAUAAUGGGAAGAGAAGGAUUUCCCCCAUCCCUGCAUUUUCUUUUUAAAAUUUACAUUUUGAACAUCAAUUUAUUAUGUAAUAAAAAUGUAAAUACGUUAUGUCUAAUUAGAACUUACGGUUUAAUGAAAACAUUUAAGUUUAUUCUAUAACAAUGUUCAUAAAAAGCUAAACAUAAAUUCCAAUCUUUUCCUUUGCAAAACUAUGAAAUUUAUGAGGACAGGGAGCACUGUGUUCACCUGUGCAACGCGAGUACCUAACCAGGGUUUCUGUGUACCGCUGAAAGAUAAAACGCGUCACCACUGCGCAGUGCUCCUCUCUGUCCGUGCCGGACAGCUAUCUACAAAACUGAAUGUGUAAGGAAGCCUUUAGGAAAACACAGGAAAGACAACACUUAGCAGAAAAUUAGCAGUGGUUAUUUAAGCUAGUAAUCAAACAUUGUGUAAGGUCAUUUGUUUUUCUGCUUCAGCGACUCUAUUUCCCUUUACAAGGAUCUACUAGCUAGCAGAGGCAAUACUUCUCAAGUGAAAGGUAAAGCAGUAUCCAUUAUUGUAAUGAAAUACUUAAGACUUCUACUUAUGAAACAAGGACUUAUUUGCUUGACUGUUUUGGAUGGAAUGAGGAUGGAAUAACACUUUUCUAAAAAAGUAAUUG